rnacentral:snRNA from 1 species
GUGCUCCUUUCAGUAGUCCAUACACUCACAUCGGAACAAUACAGAGAAGAUCCCCGUGCAAGGAUGGGAAGCAAAUCCGCAGAGCGUUCCUGGUUUUU